AAGAUGUGCUUUCCCUAAACAUUCAGGCCAGUAAAACUUACUCACAUGGAAGUUCACAGAAAGUAACUCAAAAAGUUCAAAAGUCUAGCUGGAGUGAAUUGAUUUUACAACUUGAACAAAUAUGUGUGGGACAUUUUCACAGUAUUCACCCAACUUUAAUUGUGAUCAGCAUAAUUAUUUUAAAAGUGUAUUGCCUGCCUCACUGCAGUUUUCUAUUUUCCACUUUUCAAAAAACUCUUUUUUUAAAUAUUCCAAAUUGUAAAAAAAUUCCCUAUUUAAGAAAAUAACUGGAACUCCAACUAAGGGACCGGAAUGUGUAGUAUUUGCAUACAGGGGAAUCACUAGCAAUCCAUACAUUCCUGGCCUUCCUUAUUUUUGCAGGAAAGCAAGACUUUUUCAGAGAGCAGACAAACCCCAUUUUUUUCAGAAAGGGCUGUGGCUUUCUUUGUUUUGAAGCACCACAGCAAACUUGCUGCUGCCUUUUCUUGUCAUUCUAUGCAAUUUAAUUCUCCUCAGUGCAUCUCUAUUAGGCUAAACUGCAUCCCAAUCACGUCACUCACGUAUGCUUUUGCUUUGAAACCACUUGGACUGGGGGGGAAGGAUUCUGUUUGACUUUGAGCAUUCUAAACAGGGAGACUAAUAUUUCAACUCAGCAGAAAUGGCUGCUAAUUUUAAACUACCAGUUUAAUCUUUCUCUAGCAGAAACACACAUUUUCUUCUACCAUAAAAUGUUCUCAUAAUAGAAAUGAGACCAUUCCCAGGGGCGCGGUUACCAAAAGAUAAUCUUGCCCCAAUCUGAUUAGAGGCAUGAGGUUCAUGCCUCAAAAUGCUCUAGGGUGUGAUUAUUUUAGGAUAACCCUACCCUGUAUCAUGGCUUAUUGAUUAACUAAUAAAGCUUCAGUAUUAUUAUUCAGAGGAGGGCUGAGAUAUCAGAGGAAGAUCUGAUUCUGGAAUGGGAAAGAUUCUUUCUUGCUAACAAACCACCUUUCUCUUGCCCUGAUUAUAACCUGUGUGUGAAAUUAUAGGGUCAAUGGAUGCCAGUUUUAGUUUUUCAUUGGUGAUUAGCUCACUGGUUUAUUAAAACUGAAAAACACCCAGAAACAUAUUUAUUUGAAGACAAAUUUUCACUAGGACUAUUCCCUUUCCAUUUAAACUGCAUAUAAGAGCUACAGAGCAGAAUAUGAUUUGGGUUUCUAGAGAGCCUUUUGUAGUCAAGGUUCUAGAAGUGUGUCACACAGUAGUAUGUUAGAUAGCAGUGCAGUGAUUCAUAGCCAAGUAUGCCUGCUGUUAUACUUUUAACAAUAGCUCUUGCACAGCCUGGAACAUUAGAAACUAUUUUAAUGAGAGAAGCAACGUUAGACGGGGCACUGGGGUAAACAUCCUGCUCAGGGACAUAAGUGAUGCCUGCUGAUAAUGGUGCCCAUUCCGAAAGACUAUUAUGCCACCAGAGGAUCACUUGAGAGCAGUGCACUACUCUAUGCCAGCGGGAAUUCCCCCACAUUGGAGGACUCCUGAUUUACUCAUUUAGUGCAGCUGUUUGGCCCUUAUAUAUCAAAAGAGUGGCACAGAAAGGCUGAAAUCUAGCCCUUGCCUCCUAGUCCAGUGCUUUAAUUACAAGACCAUCUCCCCAUCUAGUUUCAGCCCUGUAUAGAAACCCACAACUGGCGUGGGACUUGAUCCCAUAGCCAGUCAAGUCCUUGAGCUAGAGCAGGCUGGAUUCUGAGUUCAGUUACACCAAUAUAAAUCUGGAGUUAUUCCACUGACUUGGGUAGAGUGAGUCCAGGUUUACUGAGGCAUAACUGAGAUCAGAAUCAGGUACAGCACAUGCAAAAAGGACUUAACUCAAAAAAGUUAUAUCUGUUGUGGUAUAAUAUCCAAACUACUGGACACAACUACAAAUACCUAUUUAAUGUCACCUGCACUUAAAUUUGAACAUGUUAUUGGAAACAAAGGGUCAAGCAUUAUGUAUAUGUAUCCUCUUUUAGUACUCACAAUGAAAGGAGUUUGAUAAUAAUGUAAAGGAAAGAAAGGUUUGAUUAAACCCUUCAAGGUGGUAUGUGCAAUGCAGGUCUAACAAAGGGAUCAUUACACAAUAAUAUAACCUACACUGGACUAAUCCCCUUUCAUGAACCAUUUGGCAAAUCUCUAUGUCUGUUUUGUCACCAUAUGCUCUGCUAACGUAUGGUGCUAACUUCUUUAACUAAUCAGAAUGAUCAUCCUGCUUGUUCAUGCUGCGUGGCAAAAAUCUCCCACCAUUCCUCACACCUGUGCAGCUCCAGCAUUGGUAGUAACACAGGGAGUACUAGUGUAGAGCAGGUUCCUGCAGCUUCUGGCAUUUUCAACACCAUGUCACUUAGCCCUUCUUAGAGCAGGUUUACAUAGCACAGUGUUAAAAAUCCUGGUAUGCAUUAGCACUCCCACAGUUAUUUUCAGCUGUGAAGGUGCAUCAGUGUUAGUAAUGGUGGGAAAUUUCGCUAAAAAUCCCUAGUGUAGCCCUGGGGGGGCAUGAGCAGGUUUCAGGGGAUCCGCAAGCAGGACCAGUGUUAGACUUUCUGGGGCCCAGGGCAGAAAGCCAGAGUCCCACUGCAGGGGGCUGAAGCCUAGGACCCUGAGCAACUUAGCUUUAUGGUGCCCCUGUGGCAUGGGGCUCUGGGCAAUUGCCAUGCUUGCCACCCCUUAACACUGGCCCUGGCUUUUAUAUGCAGAAAACCUGUUCCUGUGGCACAGGUGGGCCGUGGAGUUUUUAUAGCAUGUUUGGGGGGCCUCAGAAAAAGGUUGAGAACCCCUGUCCUACAGUAUUCCUUACACUAAGCAUUAUGGGCUUGAUCUUGGCCUCAGUUUAAUCAAUAGGAGUUUUGCAAGGAGAUAAAGAAUUAGCAGUCACUCUGUGUAAAGCAAUAUAAUGACUUUUCCAUUAGUCAUGACACUCCCUAAUGAACAAAACAUAAGGACCUCCAGAAGAGGAGAGGAAGCUGACGACUUCCAAAAACAACACACAGCCCUGUGUAAAAGAAAGAAGUAAAGAAAAAGUCUUGAAUAGAUGAACAUAAGAAUUCCUGGUCUGCUGCUCAUUUAAAUACAAACUAUGAUUUGCAUGGUUUAAAGGCUUUUCUCCACCCCAGAAUGAAGGAGGAACUGAAUAGUUUCAUGUUGGACAUUCUCCCACUCCAAAACGUCUGAGAAACUGAAACAGGACCAUUAGGAACUGAAUAGCCUUGCCAUGGCAGAACAAUGGAGACUAUCUGGUCAUGCCAUUGAGUGUUAGCCCUGGUCUACACUAAAGGGUUAGGUUGAAUUUAGCUGCGUUAGGUCGAUUUUAUAGUGAAUGCAUCUACACAAACAACCUUGUUCCGUCGACCUAAAGGGCUCCCCUGCAAGGGGAGUAGUGCUAAAAUCGAUCUUGCUGGGUCAAAUUUGGAGUA